GACGAACGCUGGCGGCGUGCUUAACACAUGCAAGUCGAACGAAGAGCGAUGGAAGCUUGCUUCUAUCAAUCUUAGUGGCGAACGGGUGAGUAACGCGUAAUCAACCUGCCCUUCAGAGGGGGACAACAGUUGGAAACGACUGCUAAUACCGCAUACGAUCUAAUCUCGGCAUCGAGGAUAGAUGAAAGGUGGCCUCUACAUGUAAGCUAUCACUGAAGGAGGGGAUUGCGGCUGAUUAGCUAGUUGGAGGGGUAACGGCCCACCAAGGAGAGGAUCAGUAGCCGGUCUGAGAGGAUGAACGGCCACAUUGGGACUGAGACACGGCCCAGACUCCUACGGGAGGCAGCAGUGGGGAAUCUUCCGCAAUGGACGAAAGUCUGACGGAGCAACGCCGCGGGAGUGAUGACGGCCUUCGGGUUGUAAAGCUCGGUUAAUCGGGACGAAAGGCCUUCUUGCGAAUAGUGAGAAGGAUUGACGGUACCGGAAGAGAAAGCCACGGCUAACUACGUG
rnacentral:rRNA from 1 species